AUUCUGACCUGGCAGGGGAGAUACCAUGAUUACGAAGGUGGUUUUCCCAGGGUGAGAUUUAUCCAUUGCACUCCAGAUGUGCUGACUCCUGUGAUCCCCUGCCCAC
rnacentral:snRNA from 10 species